AUCCGUCUGAUGAGUCCCAAAGCAGGACGAAACGCGUGUCCUGGAU
rfam:Schistosoma haematobium scaffold336_4, whole genome shotgun sequence.